rnacentral:rRNA from 1 species
CGAAAGAGAAGCGAGGCGGUGACGUGGAGCAAACCUCAGAAAGCCAAUCUCAGUUCGGAUUGUAGGCUGCAACUCGCCUACAUGAAGUUGGAAUCGCUAGUAAUCGCGAAUCAGAAUGUCGCGGUGAAUACGUUCCCGGGUCUUGUACACACCGCCCGUCACACCACGAGAGUUUACAACACCCGAAGUCAGUGGCCUAACCGCAAGGAGGGAGCUGCCUAAGGUGGGGUAGAUGAUUGGGGUGAAGUCGUAACAAGGUACC